GUCACUUUGCCGGAGAGGUUAACGGGAUCGCCUGCUAGUUUUCGCACGGGAUUUCUCAGCCAGUGUUGACGUCAGCGGUUGGGCUUUGCCCGCGUGUGUUCGAAUCGCACAGGUGACG